CGGGUGAGUAACGCGUUGGUGACCUGCCCUAAAGAAGGGAACAACCUCGGGAAACUGAGGCUAAUACCCUAUGUGCUUCUAGAGAUUAGAUGCUUUAGUAGUAAAGGUUCUGUGGACGAAAGGCCACAGUGCCACUUUAGGAGGGGCCUGCGUCCCAUCAGCUAGUUGGUAGGGUAAUGGCCUACCAAGGCAAUGACGGGUAGGGGACCUGAGAGGGUGACCCCCCACACUAGCACUGAAACACGGGCUAG
rnacentral:rRNA from 1 species